rnacentral:tRNA from 1 species
CAUAGGGUAGUUUAAUUAAAAUCUUAGCUUUGGGAGCUAAGGAUGGGAGUUAGACUCUCCUCUCUGUGA